UACAGAGGUCUCAAGCGUUGUUCGGAUUCAUUGGGCGUAAAGGGUGCGCAGGCGGCGGGGCAAGUCGGACGUGAAAUCCCGGGGCUUAACCCCGGAACUGCGUUCGAUACUGCCUUGCUUGAGGACUGGAGAGGAGACUGGAAUUCCUGGUGUAGCAGUGAAAUGCGUAGAUAUCAGGAGGAACGCCAUUGGCGAAGGCAGGUCUCUGGACAGUUCCUGACGCUCAUGCACGAAGGCCAGGGGAGCAAACGGG
rnacentral:rRNA from 1 species